UACGGAGGAUGCGAGCGUUGUCCGGAAUCAUUGGGCGUAAAGGGCGCGUAGGUGGCCUGCUAAGCGUGCGGUGAAAGCUCGGGGCUCAACCCCGAGUCGGCCGUGCGAACUGGUGGGCUUGAGCACUGUAGAGGCAGGCGGAAUUCCGGGUGUAGCGGUGGAAUGCGUAGAGAUCCGGAAGAACACCGGUGGCGAAGGCGGCCUGCUGGGCAGUAGCUGACACUGAGGCGCGACAGCGUGGGGAGCAAACAGG
rnacentral:rRNA from 1 species